UCCAGAACAGCUGAAAAGAGUUGGUUUAAGCAACUCUGAGUUGUCAGACUCAGAGUUAAGCGCGUGCACCGCGACGAUACAAAGCCCUGAUCAAUGGAGUGAAGAUAUUACCAUCACCAUGGCAACAGGACAACAAAAGACGUCCGGAAAUGGAUAUGAUACGUCAAGCAUACAGCGUCUACGAGUCUAUAAUCCGUAGAAAAAGCAACACGGCUGCAGCGGCGAAAGAGAAAGAAUUAGCUUGGAAGAAAAUAGCUCCUCGAGUCAAUGCCCAACAGAAAGAAGGCAGAGGCUAGAACAACUGGUGGAGGACCUGCACCACCACCACUGACGCAUGCAGAGGAGAAGGCCCUCAGCCUGAACACUGGAGAGAGGCUGAGGCUGAAGGAAUUCAUCAGAACCCGUCACACCCCAGGAUACAAGUGCAUGUGUAAAAUAGUCUGGGUUGGGUUCUUUGUUGGUCUUAACAGAUUCUGAUGGUAAUAUAUGAAUCCUCCUGUCACAACAGAAGCCCAGGAUGUUAGUGUGGAAGAACAGCAGGAGGAGGUCAGUCACAUUCUGCUGCACAGAUGCACACAGUUCAGUGAUGUUCAGUAAAUGCCAGAGUUCAAUUCUGUAAGAGUAAUGAGGAACAUGUCAUUUCAAGAUGUCAUGUAACUCUAAAUCUUCUGUAUUUUAAGUUACCGGUUACAGAGUUGUAUAAACGUAAUCUCAAGGAAAUGUUGUACUUGUACCACAAGAUUGAAAAGCCAGAUCUAGAAAUUGAAAUUCCCAAACACAAGCUGGAGAUGAGUGUAUAGUUAAAGGUGAAUUGUAUGAAUUAUUGGAAGAAUCAUAAAAUCUAACAAUUGCCUUUGUAUUUGUAGGAAAUGAAAAAAAAAACAAAUAAAUUAUGAUUUACA